CAGGGAGACAACACAAUGAUUUUGAUGCCUGAGUAUUUUUAUUCUUAGGCCGAAAUCCUGUCACCUUAGGUCGAUCGGUACCUCAGCUUUGAAGUUAAGAAUCAGCAGCAAUGUUGAUUGCUUGAUGGAGAUUUUCAGUUCCUAAACUUUGUCUAGGUCACACCCCAAAAGGGAUGAGACUCCUGGGCCAUUAGCUCAGGUGGUUAGAGCGCACCCCUGAUACGGGUGAGGUCCCUGGUUCAAGUCCAGGAUGGCCCAUUCGGUGUUGGGGGUUUAGCUCAGUUGGUAGAGCGCCUGCUUUGCAAGCAGGAUGUCAGGAGUUCGAGUCUCCUAACCUCCACUGACCGAACUUGAUUCCCAUCUCCAAUUUUUUGGAGUUGAGCUCGAUUGGAGUGUGAUUUAGAUGUGUCCGCUGGAUGACCCCAGCUUCCUGUCAUUCCAAGUUUUAGGUUGAUGCCUUGAAUUUGGUUGAUAAGAUGCUGGGCUCGGAUCAAAUUAUCAAUUAAUUGAUGAUUUGAUUUGAAGUUCUAGCAGAACCUUGACAACUGCAUAGGUGAGUCUGGAAAAAACAAAGCAUCUUACAGAUGCAUUGUUUUGAAUCUGAUCUUCUGAAAGGGAGAUUGGAUCUAGAACAAUGAAAAUUCUUUUGAGCGAGAGCCGAGACUCUUGAGCGUUCUUUGAUUGGUGUCGAGCCAAUCAGAGUUUGAUCUUGUUUUUAGCAAUAAAAACUUGAGAAUCUGCUUUCAACGGCGGUAAGCGUUCAGGAGGUUAAUU
rnacentral:tRNA from 1 species